rnacentral:rRNA from 1 species
CCUACGUGUGGCAGCAGUGGGGGAUAUUGCACAAUGGGGGAAACCCUGAUGCAGCGACGCCGCGUGUAGGAAGACGGUCCUCUGGUUUGUAAACUACUGUCUCCAGGGACGAAGAUGACGGUACCUGGGGAGAAAGCUCCGGCUAACAACGUGCCAGCAGCCGCGGGAAUACGUGGGGAGCGAGCGUUGUCCGGAAUUCCUGGGUGUAAAGUGAGCGUAGGCGGGGAUGAAAGUUGGGUGUUAAAUCUACCGGCUCAACUGGUAGUCGCACUCAAAACUGCAGAUCUUGAGUGAAGUAGAGGCAGGCGGAAUUCCUAGUGUAGCGGUGAAAUGCGUAGAUAUUAGGAGGAACACCAGUGGCGAAGGCGGCCUGCUGGGCUUUUACUGACGCUGAGGCUCGAAAGUGUGGGGAGCAAACAGGAUUAGAUACCCGGGUAGUC